rnacentral:rRNA from 1 species
UGGGGAAUAUUCCGCAAUGGACGAAAGUCUGACGGAGCAAUGCCGCGUGAGUGAUGAAGGCUUUUGGGUCGUAACACUCUGUCUUUUGGGACGAAAUUCCCAUGUGUUAAUACCAUGUGGGAUUGACGGUACCUUAGGAGGAAGCCCCGGCUAACUACGUGCCAGCAGCCGCGGUAAUACGUAGGGGGCGAGCGUUGUCCGGAUUUAUUGGGCGUAAAGGGCGUGUAGGCGGUUUUUUAAGUCGGGUGUGAAAACUCUGGGCUCAACCCAGAGACUGCAUCCGAAACUGGGAAGCUUGAGGGCAGGAGAGGAAAGUGGAAUUCCAAGUGUAGCGGUGAAAUGCGUAGAUAUUUGGAAGAACACCAGUGGCGAAGGCGACUUUCUGGACUGUACCUGACGCUGAGGCGCGAAAGCCAGGGGAGCGAACG